AGGGCCCGCCCUGCUGAGUAGGGCGCCCGCGAGUGUGCCUGUCCCGUGGUGGUUGUGAGGUCGGAGACGGGGUUGCGCGGAAGGAAAGCGGGACGCGAGGGAUGGGUGUGGCUCCGGGCCGGAGCUCGCGGAGAGCGGCGGGGUCUCUUAACAGGCGUGUCCGAUCUGAUGGCUGCAUACACCCCUAAAUGACUAUCAGUAUUUCCCCCAGCUGGCGAUGAAGCACGUGGGGAGAUUGCUCUGUGCAUCUUCAGGAUGCUGAGAAGUAAAGAAGUUGACUUUGGGGGCAUCUCAGUAGCUUAAGGAUUUAAGGUCACCAUGGUGAUGGGCACCAGCCUGAAGUCUCUCGAGUGGGACACAAGCUGAUGGAGAGCGAGCCUGGCUCCUGGGUUCAGGGAGCUGUGUCCUUGGCACAGCAUCCCAGAAGUUCUCCCUAUCUACUGCACCUGCUACUGAAAUCCCUUUGGGAAUUCUCCUUGCCCCGUCCAGGACAAAGUCAUCUAAGAAACUGGGAAGAUUCCAGAGGAACGGGCUCAACUUCAGGCAUGAGAAAGGACCAAAUCUUGGCCCUGACAACUCGGUCAACCAGUACUUCAGCCUCCCUGAACCUCGGUUUUCUAAAUCCGUAAAAUGGGAGGGGUAGUUUGUUUUGUUUUGUUUUGUUUUUCUUUUGCCCCACGGGGUGACUGUGGCGUUGAAGAAGAAUGUCACACUAGAAGGGGAGAAUGGAAAGCCCUUCCUUCAUUAUAAAAGGUCAGCUAAGGGCUGGGGAGGUGGCUCUGUCAGCCAAGUGCUUACCAUGCAAACAUGAUGACCUGAGUUCAAUCCCCAGAGCCCACACUUAACCUCUCAGGAGCAGCGUGUCUUGUCUUCCUGGCACUGGAAGAUCCCUGUGACUUGGUGACUAGCCAGCCUGGCCUACUUGGUGAGACCAUCUCAAGCAACAACGUGAAUGAAUGGCUCCUGAAGAAUGACAUUUGAGGUUGUCCCCUGGCCUAAAUGCAUAUGCAUGUGCACGCUUGUGCACACUGGGUAAAAAUGUCAUUAGGGCUGGCAACGUGGCUCGGUGGGUAACGGCACUUCCUGUCAAAUCCGAUGGCCUGAGUUUGAACCCUGAGAUCCACCUGACAGAGGGAGAGACUCAUCUCCUGCAAAUGAUCUCCCUGGCCUCCACAUAUAUCCACCCCACUACACACAUACAAAUAAAUAAUUUUUUUUGAGACAGGGUUUCUCUGAUAGCCCGGGUUAUCCUGGAACUGGCUUUAUAGACCAGGCUGGCUUUGAACUCAGAGAUCUGCCUACCCUGCCUCUGCCUACCUAGUGGCAGGAUUAAAGGCAUGUACCACCACCAGGCUAAUAAAUGUAAUUUUAAUAAUUGA
rnacentral:lncRNA from 1 species